AGUGAACGCUGGCGGUAGGCCUAACACAUGCAAGUCGAACGGCAGCACAGUAAGAGCUUGCUCUUACGGGUGGCGAGUGGCGGACGGGUGAGGAAUACAUCGGAAUCUACUUUUUCGUGGGGGAUAACGUAGGGAAACUUACGCUAAUACCGCAUACGACCUACGGGUGAAAGCAGGGGAUCUUCGGACCUUGCGCGAUUGAAUGAGCCGAUGUCGGAUUAGCUAGUUGGCGGGGUAAAGGCCCACCAAGGCGACGAUCCGUAGCUGGUCUGAGAGGAUGAUCAGCCACACUGGAACUGAGACACGGUCCAGACUCCUACGGGAGGCAGCAGUGGGGAAUAUUGGACAAUGGGCGCAAGCCUGAUCCAGCCAUACCGCGUGGGUGAAGAAGGCCUUCGGGUUGUAAAGCCCUUUUGUUGGGAAAGAAAAGCAGCAGGUUAAUACCCCACUGUUCUGACGGUACCCAAAGAAUAAGCACCGGCUAACUUCGCG
rnacentral:rRNA from 1 species